GCCUCGGCCCAAAAUCAGAAUUUCUUUUGCCGUGAGAAAUUGGUUGUGUGGCAUGAGAGCGUGUGAAAACAUGCAAAAGCAUGUGUCACACGGCGAAACCGUGAGAGUUGGUCGCUCUGAUUGUUGCUUGGUGCUUUUUAACCUGUGAGUAUUUUUUGUGUUUUGUUAUAAAAGAUUAAUUUGAUUGAAGCCGAAGCCUGUUACCUGCUCAGUGAAAAACAAAGACGUGAGUGUUCAAAGUUUGACUAGUUUUAUCACCUGGACCAAGUCGUAACGUCAGAUGUACUCAGCUUUAUAAUGUCUUUUUUUUUUACAAAGUAAAGUGUUAUUUUAGAAGAAAGCGUAUCAUAUAGAGACAUGUGACUGUCUAAGUGGUUUCUAUACUGCAUGUCGCGCAUUGAUAGUGUAUUCAUACUAUGUCAAUAUUUUUUUAAAUAUUUUGUAUUGAUACAUUAAAAAGUAGAAACAAUUCUUUACCAAUGGCCAUAAAUGAAAAUUAACAUUUUCCUCGGUUCGUAUUGUUAAAUUUAGAGGUUAGCGUUGGUUCUGGUCUUAUUCUAGCAUUUUCUGGCGUGUUGGAUACGCCUUGAAAGUUUAGACAGGAAGUCAAAGAAACAGCCACUUCCUGUUUGUCCGAUCUGUAGGCUACUUGUAGUUUCCAGACCUCGUUUGGAUUUCUUCGCGCGUGUUUGUAAAUAUAUAUUUCUGUAGAAAUGUAAACGUGUGCCUGCGUCUUUUGUUCUUUUUCUUUCUUUCUGUGAAACCCUCGUUUUUAUAAUCAUAAGCAAUAUGAUUCUCAAGCACACAAUAAUAAUCUUUAGAUUAAACAUGAGACUAAUAGCUAACAAUUAAGCAUUAAGUAUAUUAUUAAAGGGAUUAUUGAUGGUUAUCUUUUGAACAGUGGUGUUAGGACGACUACUCUGUGCAAAUGUGUCAGUUUCAAAGUCCAAAGUUUUUCUUUGUACCCAGAUGACUUUCUACAGCUUGGAAGUGUGUGGAGCAUUGACUGCACCGCCUCGCCUUCCUCCCCCUUUUCUGAUCAAACAACCUACAGCAUCUCGAACGACUCAUGUCCCAGAUGUAACUGGGUCCGACUGCAAAUACUCUUGGUCAAAUGAUGUGACUUAGGCCAGCUGGUUUUCAAAUACAUGUAUGACUCACAACAAAUGAUAAAUUACUUGCAGUGUGAUAGCUGAGCUUGUUCGGAUGAACACAAAACUGUCGCUUCCCCGGUACAGUUAUGCACAUGAGGGUUUUUGUUCUAUGGUUUGUGUAACGAACUGAUUAAUUUUUUUCCUCUCCACAUUGACUUCAGAACUAUGUGCUUGCUAAUGAAAUUGACAGUAACCCUGAGCUGGUGGUGAAUAACAGCAUCAACGAUCUCAUCACCCCGAAUUGCUCUGACAUUAUCAUCUACACAAGAAACUGCCUCUAAGAGGGGAUCGGUUACAGGGUUCACUGUACACUCAACUGCACUUUACUUGCCCUCGAGAGGUCUCGGAAGCAAAAAGGUAGAUACAUUAUGUUUGCUAAUCUGCCGUCUACUCUGUCGCUCGUUCUUUGUGUUUUGGAGCCCAAGCUUGAGACAUUCUACUUUUUAUAUAUAUUUUUACAUUUUGUGAAAUGCUUAUGCUCUUUAAAGUGUGUACUGUGAGUGUAAGGGGGCUACAUGGCUCCCUGGUGUCUCAGUUUUGCAUGCUUGCUAGUAAACUAAAAUAAAAUGCCAUGUAUCACUAUCGAGUAUAUGAAUGAACAAUUGGAGUUUCGAGGUCAAAUAAAAAUGUAAAAUAUAAAUAUGUUAACUGUCAAACUCUCUUUCCUUCUGAGAGAUUUCUGUUACUGUUGGUGCUACUGUUGUUGUUAUCCUGCUGGUGGGGCUCCUUUGUUUCUGCCUGUACUGCAAAUUCAAAGAUAGAAUUUCCAGGACGUUCAACCGGAGCCAGCCCCAAUGCCUUUACAUCGAUGUGAAGAUGCAGAACAUUGACCCAUGUCAACGUGCAGCUGAAGAGGAGGCGGGGAAGGUGUAGAAAUACCUUCUUGUUUUCUUUUGUCUAUUUGGAGAACUAUUUUAUGUAUAUAUAUAUAUAAUCGUUCUCCCUUGCUAAUGUUCUCCACAUGUGGUGUUUGUGUCCCAAAAACAAACCGUUUUUUAGCAAUCUCAGACUUAUAAUAAUCAACCUGCCAGUAGUCUAUUGGCAUCCAUCUUAGGUUAAUUGGACCCUUAAUUGCCGUAAGUGUGUAUGGUCGGCCGUCUCUGUGAGCCCUGAGAUGGACUUGUGACCUGUUCAGGGUGAACCGUGCCUUCGCCCAAUGUCAGGUGGGAUCGGCUCCAGCACCCCCAAAAUAGGAUGAGUGGUUAAAAUAAUGGAAUAGAAUAUGCCAAAAUCUAUUUAAAUGUUUUAUACUUUAUAAAUACACUUCAGGUCGUGGAUACAAUAAUGUGUAAUAUAAACCUAUUCUGUUUGCUCUGUCUGCUUUCUGAAAUUUGUAUUAUAGAAUCAUUCAUUAAAUUAUGGCACUGUUUUUAAAUAAAAAUGUUUUAAAGCUAC